GACGAACGCUGGCGGCGUGCUUAACACAUGCAAGUCGAACGGUGAAGCGCCUUCCUUUUUGGUGGGUGUGGAUGAGUGGCGAACGGGUGAGUAACACGUGAGUAACCUGCCCCCUUCUUCUGGAUAACCGCAUGAAAGUGUGGCUAAUACGGGAUAUUCUGGGUCUGUCGCAUGAUGGGUCUGGGAAAGAUAUUGUUUCGGUGGGGGAUGGGCUCGCGGCCUAUCAGCUUGUUGGUGGGGUGAUGGCCUACCAAGGCGGUGACGGGUAGCCGGCCUGAGAGGGGGGAGGUCAAAAGGGGGAUGGGGAAAGGGCCAGGCUUCUAAGGGAGGCAGCAGGGGGGGAUAAUGGAAAAUGGGGGGAAGGCUGAUGCAGGGAAGGCGGGUGAGGGAUGGGGGCCUUCGGGUUGUGAACCUCUUUCGCCAGUGAAGCAGGCCUGCCUCGUUUGUGGGUGGGUUGACGGUAGCUGGAUAAGAAGCGCCGGCUAACUACGUG
rnacentral:rRNA from 1 species